GGAAUAUGAAUUAAAAGACGAUUUUGGCCAUGAAAAGGAAAGAAAUAACAAAAAAGAAAACUACAAAUUACUGUAGCAAAUAUCCAUUAAUUAAAACACCUCGCAUAAGAUUUCCUGAGAAUUAAGAUGGUAAUACAAAUGAAAAAAGAAUCUGGCAAUGACAAACCUACACACAAGGAUCAAAGAGAUAGAAACAGAUAAAAUACUUCUGCUAGAUAUAAAAGGCUAAAGAGAGAACGCCAUACAGACAGAUUCCGAUCAAACAAACCCAUGAUUGUAAUCAGAUCAAAAAACAUGAACAUGCGGCCUAUAAAGCAAAAAGAAAAAAGAAAAACAAACAGGGCCACAUUGACUGAUUUUAGAGAACCAGCUAGGAAUAACAGAGGAAAUACAAUCAAGCUGUUUCUUAGAGUAGAUCUCCAUCAAGACAUUCCCGUUAUUGUUGUUAUUAGUCUCCUUCUCUUUGUCAUCUCUCGGCCUCUUCACCGGCAAAUCACUGGCAGUAACAAACCUAGUUUCCGCCAUAACAUAUAUUAUUAUUUAUUAUUCUCUCUGCUUUCAAACCCUUAGAAACCAACAACCACUUCACUUUUAAUGAAAACUAGUUGCCGAGGCAACUCUUGAGAGUCAAGAGCCGCCACGCAAACACAAUCGUGGUCCCUUUUUGCUGUAUAUGUAGAAAAAAAGAAGAAGCAAGCAGCAAGUGGUGGGAGAAAUCUUUUAUAAAAAAAAAGGAGAAAAGAAAAGUUAGAGAUUUGGCUUUGCAAAGAUGCGGCUCCUCUGUGUGUGUGUGUUUGUGUUUUGUUUGUUGCUUCUUGUGCUUGGUUGACCGUGAGAGAGAGAGGGCCCGUGAGAGAGAGAGAGAUUGGAGAUGGAGGGUUACAAUUUUUUUACUUUUUUUAAUUAUUUACCUUGCAAGACUAAAUGUUUAUUUUCCAAUUACAAAUGCAGCGUUU
rnacentral:lncRNA from 1 species